AAGUCGUAACAAGGUUUCCGUAGGUGAACCUGCGGAAGGAUCAUUAAUACGUUCUAAUCAACGUAAAUACUCAAUCGUGAACUGUUCCCCUUGUGAGUAAUUGUAUGAGUUGGAGGUGAAGUUUGAUGUGGUCGAAUAACAAGCAUGGAAUUCAUGAGCGACCCCUUCACCGAGGAUUAAUAAAUCGUAUCGCAAGGUGCGAUUCGACUCAUUCACAAGGCGUUUUUUCCAUGCUUUAUCUUUUUACCCCAAGUACCAUUUUAUGAACUAAACUGUUGAUGUUCCUCUUUCAGACCUCCUUCAAAAGAGGACUGCAAAGAGAACUUCAAACAAAAUAUCGAAACUUAAGAACAACUCUUAACGACGGAUAUCUUGGUUCUC
rnacentral:misc_RNA from 1 species